AGAGUUUGAUCCUGGCUCAGAACGAACGCUGGCGGCAUGCCUAACACAUGCAAGUCGAACGAGACCUUCGGGUCUAGUGGCGCACGGGUGCGUAACGCGUGGGAAUCUGCCCUUGGGUUCGGAAUAACACAGAGAAAUUUGUGCUAAUACCGGAUGAUGUCUUCGGACCAAAGAUUUAUCGCCCAGGGAUGAGCCCGCGUAGGAUUAGGUAGUUGGUGGGGUAAUGGCCCACCAAGCCGACGAUCCUUAGCUGGUCUGAGAGGAUGAUCAGCCACACUGGGACUGAGACACGGCCCAGACUCCUACGGGAGGCAGCAGUGGGGAAUAUUGGACAAUGGGCGCAAGCCUGAUCCAGCAAUGCCGCGUGAGUGAUGAAGGCCUUAGGGUUGUAAAGCUCUUUUACCAGGGAUGAUAAUGACAGUACCUGGAGAAUAAGCUCCGGCUAACUCCGUGCCAGCAGCCGCGGUAAUACGGAGGGAGCUAGCGUUGUUCGGAAUUACUGGGCGUAAAGCGCACGUAGGCGGCUAUUCAAGUCGGGGGUGAAAGCCCGGGGCUCAACCCCGGAACUGCCCUCGAAACUAGGUAGCUAGAAUCUUGGAGAGGCGAGUGGAAUUCCGAGUGUAGAGGUGAAAUUCGUAGAUAUUCGGAAGAACACCAGUGGCGAAGGCGACUCGCUGGACAAGUAUUGACGCUGAGGUGC
rnacentral:rRNA from 1 species